rnacentral:rRNA from 1 species
UACAGAGGGGGCAAGCGUUGUUCGGAAUUACUGGGCGUAAAGGGCUCGUAGGCGGCCAACUAAGUCGGAUGUGAAAUCCCCAGGCUUAACCUGGGAACUGCAUUUGUGACUGCAUGGCUGGAGUGCGGCAGAGGGGGAUGGAAUUCCGCGUGUAGCAGUGAAAUGCGUAGAUAUCUGGAGGAACACCGGUGGCGAAGGCGGCAUCCUGGACCGAGAUUGACGCUGAACAGCGAAAGCUAGGGGAGCAAACGGG